UGUAUAAUGGGUCAGCGACUUAUAUUCUGUAGCAAGGUUAACCGUAUAGGGGAGCCGAAGGGAAACCGAGUCUUAACUGGGCGUUAAGUUGCAGGGUAUAGACCCGAAACCCGGUGAUCUAGCCAUGGGCAGGUUGAAGGUUGGGUAACACUAACUGGAGGACCGAACCGACUAAUGUUGAAAAAUUAGCGGAUGACUUGUGGCUGGGGGUGAAAGGCCAAUCAAACCGGGAGAUAGCUGGUUCUCCCCGAAAGCUAUUUAGGUAGCGCCUCGUGAACUCAUCUUCGGGGGUAGAGCACUGUUUCGGCUAGGGGGCCAUCCCGGCUUACCAACCCGAUGCAAACUACGAAUACCGAAGAAUGUUAUCACGGGAGACACACGGCGGGUGCUAACGUCCGUCGUGAAGAGGGAAACAACCCAGACCGCCAGCUAAGGUCCCAAAGUCAUGGUUAAGUGGGAAACGAUGUGGGAAGGCACAGACAGCCAGGAUGUUGGCUUAGAAGCAGCCAUCAUUUAAAGAAAGCGUAAUAGCUCACUGGUCGAGUCGGCCUGCGCGGAAGAUGUAACGGGGCUAAACCAUGCACCGAAGCUGCGGCAGCGACGCUUAGGCGUUGUUGGGUAGGGGAGCGUUCUGUAAGCCGUUGAAGGUGUGCUGUGAGGCAUGCUGGAGGUAUCAGAAGUGCGAAUGCUGACAUAAGUAACGAUAAAGCGGGUGAAAAGCCCGCUCGCCGGAAGACCAAGGGUUCCUGUCCAACGUUAAUCGGGGCAGGGUGAGUCGACCCCUAAGGCGAGGCCGAAAGGCGUAGUCGAUGGGAAACAGGUUAAUAUUCCUGUACUUGGUGUUACUGCGAAGGGGGGACGGAGAAGGCUAUGUUAGCCGGGCGACGGUUGUCCCGGUUUAAGCAUGUAGGCGGAGGUUC
rnacentral:rRNA from 1 species